GUCUGAUCCAGCCAUGCCGCGUGAGUGAAGAAGGCCUUCGGGUUGUAAAGCUCUUUUGUCCGGGAGCAAAUCCUGAUUCCUAAUACCAAUCGGGGAUGAGAGUACCGGAAGAAUAAGGACCGGCUAACUACGUGCCAGCAGCCGCGGUAAUACGUAGGGUCCAAGCGUUAAUCGGAAUUACUGGGCGUAAAGGGUGCGCAGGUGGUUACGUAAGUCUGAUGUGAAAUCCCCGGGCUCAACCUGGGAACUGCAUUGGAGACUGUGUGACUAGAGUGUGGCAGAGGGGGGUGGAAUUCCGCGUGUAGCAGUGAAAUGCGUAGAGAUGCGGAGGAACACCAAUGGCGAAGGCAGCCCCCUGGGUUAACACUGACACUCAUGCACGAAAGCGUGGGGAGCAAACAGGAUUAGAUACCCUGGUAGUCCACGCCCUAAACGAUGUCUACUAGUUGUUGGAGCAGCAAUGCUUUUGUAACGCAUCUCACGCGUGAAGUAUACCGCCCGGGGAGUACGAUCGCAAGAUUAAAACUCUCAGGAAUUGACGGGGGCCCGCACAAGCGGUGGAUGAUGUGGAUUAAUUCUAUGCAACGCGAAAAACCUUACCUACCCUUGA
rnacentral:rRNA from 1 species